ensembl:snoRNA SNORD22 Small nucleolar RNA SNORD22
CCUUGGUGAUGACACCCGCACACGUCCGUCGCCUCGCGCCAACGCCAGAACCUGAGAAGGUGAACCCACUGGCGUUGCCUUGGCAGCCGGGGGAAGACUGGUUGGGGUUACCAACAGUCUGAAGGGA